GACGUAGGGCGCGAGCGUUGUCCGGAUUUAUUGGGCGUAAAGAGCGUGUAGGCGGCCAGAUAGGUCCGUUGUGAAAACUGGAGGCUCAACCUCCAGACGUCGACGGAAACCGUGUGGCUAGAGUCCGGAAGAGGAGAGUGGAAUUCCUGGUGUAGCGGUGAAAUGCGCAGAUAUCAGGAAGAACACCAAUGGCGAAGGCAGCUCUCUGGGACGGUACUGACGCUGAGACGCGAAAGCGUGGGGAGCGAACAGG
rnacentral:rRNA from 1 species